GAGUAAUAUUUUGUACAUACAAGUUAGGUUUUAAUUCUAUUUUAGCUAUAGUUUUAUACACAUUCUAUUUCAUAUUUGAAUUAAGUAGUACAGAGUUUAUUUACCUGUCUUACUUUUGCCAUAUAAUUGUAUUUCAGUUUAAACAUUAAUACCACAGCUUAUCUGUUUCAUUCAGUCUAUUAUUUAUCCAGCCUUGACUAACCAUACCACUGCAUGCUUUUCACCCACAGCACUUAGUAUCCCGUCCCGCGCAUAGAGUACUCUAUUGUUCUCUGUGGUCACUCACAGCUGACCACAGGUAUACCUUUGUUUGCUUGUGAUCUGAGGCAGUUGCCAGAUUACACUUGACAUAUGUACUCCAUAGUCAUUUUGUAUAUAUUUUGAAUGGAUCUUGUAUUCAUGGAUCGAAUAGAUGUGAUUAUUUCAUGGAUUUGAAGGUUAGUCAUAGUAUAUUUCUUGUAUGAUACUUUAUAUGUAUUUGUGUAUUUCUAAUUCUUAAAGUUAGAAAUAAGUUGUGCUUGGUUCAUUGCUAAUCAGGUUGUGUAUUGAAUCCACAGUUAGUGUAUUCUGAUCAUGAUUAUUUUAUAUGAUAAAGUAUUAUAAAGCAGUUUCUUUAAUUGAUAAAUAGCUAAUAUAUCCUAGGCUAUUAUCAUUUUAACUUGAACAUUAACUAAAUAAAACUAAACCCUAAAUAAACUGUAGUAAUUCUAUACCUCAUAUCACAUUAAGGUAAUUGUGUUAAUUGUGUAUAAGAAUGUAUGCGUAUGUGUGAAAGUGCAUUAUUUAAGUAAUUUGAUCAAUCCUUAUUUUAAAUACCUAUUUUACUUACGUGUUGUGUAUAAUUAAAGUGUAAAUAGUAUCUGCAUUAGUUUAUACCUUGUCAAUGCAGAUGUAACUGGCACUAUCUUAGAAGCUUUGGUGACACGGCACAGGUUUCACCAGUCUGGCCGUAUUUAUUCACCAUUCUCUUCUAAGAGAAUAAACAGCCAUCAGCUCACA